UGUGACCUGUUGUUUUAUCUUUUGUUUAUUUCAUAGAUGGCUUGCUUUGGGCUUCUAACCAACGUUUUGUUCAGGCCAGUUACAUGUAUAGGGUCUUCUGAACUUCGACGUCUUCUCAAAUUCUCAAUUUCCCAAAAGACCACUGCUUCGAGAAUGGUUCUGUAACGGUUCCACCAUCAUAGAAACAUUGUCGUUUAGCUUCUCAACACUGCUCUUUCACCACCUUUCUCCAUCCGCCACAAGCGCCCCUACAGUCUCCGAUCAAGCCGUAAUUAUCAAAUCUAGCAUCGCCUCCCUCAGGCUUCGAACCCCGGUAUUAGAGCCGAAGACUUUAUGCGCACCCUCAGAGUUCAGAGCCUCGAUGGAUUCUCCCACCAGAUUCGCAGCUCAAGAUUACGCCGCUAAGUACGAACGUAUUGACGUAGGAGAUUGGGAAAGUGUUGGUAGCAGCAACAGCGAUGAUGGAAAGUUGUGCUUCAGCCAGCAAUGCAAGGUCGUGCUAGGACUGGAACUGAAAAAACCCUUGCUUUUGGGAUUACUGUCAUUGGCAAAAUAAUCAAAUUCAACACUAAACACGGGCAUGGGAAAAACCCUCUUUCUUUCAUUUUGAUUCCAACAAAAGAUCUUGCUCGUCAAGUUUCGAAGUUCAAAGAAGCUCUAUCUCUCGGUGGUGCACUGAACAGAACAUUGAGCAACCUUCUGGAUACGUCAACGGCAUGUAUACAUGUCAGUGGAACGCAGGAAAUCGUCUUGUGAAAUGCAUUCUUUGUCAAAGAGAAGCACAUACAAUCAUGUCCUCAUUGUUGAAGCAGGAGUGUUCCCUGUUUUGGUGAACCUCUAUGUAUACGAAAACAACAAGGAGGUGAUGAUGUUUGCUGGUGCAGUCACUUGAAUAGUUCAAGUCACUUGAAGAAAGAUGCAGUUGCAGCAUUGUUCGAUCUAUUAAUCAUGGAAACAUAGGCAAAGCUAUUACAACCAAAAUUGUUGUAGUUCCAGCUCUUUGA